rnacentral:rRNA from 1 species
UCUCAGUUCAGAUUGCAGGCUGCAACUCGCCUGCAUGAAGUCGGAAUUGCUAGUAAUCGCAGAUCAGCAUGCUGCGGUGAAUACGUUCCCGGGCCUUGUACACACCGCCGUCACACCAUGGGAGUCGGUAACACCCGAAGUCGGUAGCCUAACCGUAAGGAGGGCGCCGCCGAAGGUGGGAUUGAUGACUGGGGUGAAGUCGUAACAAGGUACC